CUGCUCAAUGAUUUUAUUAAAUAGCCGCGGUAUUUUAACUGUGCUAAGGUAGCAUAAUCAUUUGUCUUUUAAUUGAAGGCUUGUAUGAAUGGCUGGACGAGGUAAUUACUUUCUUUAUUUUAUGAAAUAAAAUUUUACUUUUUAGUGAAAAGGCUAAAAUUUAUUUAAGGGACGAGAAGACCCUAUAGAUCUUUAUAAUUGUUAUUAAUUAAUUUUAUUAGUUAAUUAUUAGUUUUAUUUUUAAUAAUUAUUUGAUUGGGGUGAUUGUAGAAAUUUUAUAACUUCCAUUCUUGAUUUAUCAUUAAUGUAUGUUUAGUUGAUCCAUUUAUAAUGAUUAAAAGAUUAAGUUACCUUAGGGAUAACAGCGUAAUUUUUUCGGAGAGUUCUUAUCGAUGAAGGAGUUUGCGACCUCGAUGUUGGAUUAAAAUGGGAUUAUAAGUGUAGGGGCUAUAUUUCUAGGUCUGUUCGACCUUUAAAAUUUUACAUGAUCUGAGUUCAACCGGA
rnacentral:rRNA from 1 species